rnacentral:rRNA from 1 species
AGAGUUUGAUCUUGGCUCAGAAUGAACGCUAGCGGCGUGGAUUAGGCAUGCAAGUCGAACGAGAAAGCACCUUCGGGUGUUAGUAAAGUGGCGAACGGGUGAGUAAUGCGUAAAUGAUCUACCCUUAUGACGGGGAUAACAGUUCGAAAGGACUGCUAAGCUAAUACCGGAUGUGGUCACCAGGUCGAGGCCUGGUGAUUAAAGAUGGCCACUAUUUUAUGCUGUCGCAUGAGGAGGAGUUUACGUGCUAUUAGCUAGUUGGUGAGGUAAUGGCUCACCAAGGCAAUGAUGGCUAGCCGGCCUGAGAGGGUGUCCGGCCACACUGGGACUGAGACACUGCCCAGACUCCUACGGGAGGCUGCAGUCGAGAAUCUUCCAUAAUGCGCGAAAGCGUGAUGGAGCGACGCCGCGUGUAUGAUGAAGGCCUUAGGGUUGUAAACUUCUGUCAAGUAGCGAGAACACCAGGGUGUUAAUAGCAUCCUGCCUGACAAGCUGUGUGAGGAAGCCACGGCUAACUCUGUGCCAGCAGCCGCGGUAAUACAGAGGUGGCUAGCGUUGUUCGGAAUUACUGGGCAUAAAGGGGGUGUAGGCGGCGUCGCCAGUCAGGUGUGAAAUCCCUCGGCUCACCCGAGGAACUGCGCCUGAUACUGCUAUGCUUGAGUUUAGGAGGGGAGAGUGGAACUCCUGGUGGAGCGGUGAAAUGCGUAGAGAUCAGGAGGAACGCCGGUGGCGAAAGCGACUCUCUGGCCUACUACUGACGCUGAGGCCCGAAAGCUAGGGGAGCAAACAGGAUUAGAUACCCUGGUAGUCCUAGCCGUAAACGAUGGGCACUAAGUAGAGGAGAUUCCGAUGUCUUCUCUGCCGGAGCUAAUGCAUUAAGUGCCCCGCCUGGGGAGUAUGGUCGCAAGGCUGAAACUCAAAGGAAUUGACGGGGGAUCACACAAGCGGUGGAGCAUGUGGAUUAAUUCGAAACAACGCGAAGAACCUUACCUGGCCUUGACAUGCAAGGAUUAGCCCUGUGAAAGCAGGGUGACGCCACUUUGUGGUGGAACAUACACAGGUGUUGCAUGGCUGUCGUCAGCUCGUGUCGUGAGAUGUUGGGUUAAGUCCCGUAACGAGCGAAACCCUUAUCGUUAGUUGCCAGCGGGUAGUGCCGGGGACUCUAGCGAGACUGCCGUUAAAAAAACGGAGGAAGGUGGGGAUGACGUCAAGUCCUCAUGGCCUUUAUGCCCAGGGCUACACACGUCCCACAAUGGUCGGUACAAAGGGAAGCGAACCCGUAAGGCGAAGCAAAACUCAAAAAGCCGGUCCCAGUUCGGAUUGAGGGCUGAAACUCGCCCUCAUGAAGUCGGAAUCGCUAGUAAUCGCGAAUCAGCUACGUCGCGGUGAAUAUGUUCCUGAGCCUUGUACACACCGCCCGUCAAGCCACGAGAGCUGGUAGUACCCGAAGUCGCUAACCCAACCCUCGGGAGGGAGGCGCCGACGGUAAGAUCAGUGAUUGGGACUAAGU